rfam:Zancudomyces culisetae strain COL-18-3 scaffold-103, whole genome shotgun sequence.
UCUCGGAUAGUAUAGUGGUCAGUAUCCCAGUCUGUCACAUUGGAGACCCGGGUUCAAUUCCCGGUCCGAGAG